CCGGUAUACGUCUGGUUGAAGGUCCAUGAA
rnacentral:rRNA from 1 species